GACGAACGCUGGCGGCGUGCCUAAUACAUGCAAGUUGAGCGAUGAAGAUUGGUGCUUGCACCAAUUUGAAGAGCAGCGAACGGGUGAGUAACGCGUGGGGAAUCUGCCUUUGAGCGGGGGACAACAUUUGGAAACGAAUGCUAAUACCGCAUAACAACUUUAAACAUAAGUUUUAAGUUUGAAAGAUGCAAUUGCAUCACUCAAAGAUGAUCCCGCGUUGUAUUAGCUAGUUGGUGAGGUAAAGGCUCACCAAGGCGAUGAUACAUAGCCGACCUGAGAGGGUGAUCGGCCACAUUGGGACUGAGACACGGCCCAAACUCCUACGGGAGGCAGCAGUAGGGAAUCUUCGGCGAUGGACGAAAGUCUGACCGAGCAACGCCGCGUGAGUGAAGAAGGUUUUCGGAUCGUAAAACUCUGUUGGUAGAGAAGAACGUUGGUGAGAGUGGAAAGCUCAUCAAGUGACGGUAACUACCCAGAAAGGGACGGCUAACUACGU
rnacentral:rRNA from 1 species